rnacentral:tRNA from 1 species
GAAGGUAUAGCUCAAGUGGAUAGGGCACAUGCUUAGCAUGCAUGAGGUCCUGCAUUCAAUCCCCAGUACCUCCA